rnacentral:lncRNA from 1 species
UCUGUCUCCCCGAUAUAUAACAAGUGCAUAAAUUCAUUUGCUGUAGGAGCCAUGAAGGAAGCCAGCUUGGGCUGCAGUCAACAUGUGGAGGAGGUCUAAGCUCAGAGACCCACAAAGAAGUUCAGAUAGAGCCCUGAUCAUACCAUACCUGAGGCCUAUACCAUCUGUCGACUCCCUGUUUCAAGAGAUAGUGUGUCUUCUGACUGUUCAAAUCAGUUUGCCUCAGGAUCAACCCUCCGUGGAAGAAUUUUCUCCUCUACGGCACCCAUCCGGGAUUUGUGGAUGGUGA